ACUUUUACAAUGAAGAGUUUGAUCCUGGCUCAGGAUGAACGCUAGCUACAGGCUUAACACAUGCAAGUCGAGGGGCAGCAUGAAUAUUGGCUUGCCAAUAUUUGAUGGCGACCGGCGCACGGGUGAGUAACACGUAUCCAACCUUCCGGUUACUCGGGGAUAGGCUUUCGAAAGAAAGAUUAAUACCCGAUGUUGUGUAUCUUUCUCCUGAAAGAUACGCCAAAGGAUUCCGGUAACCGAUGGGGAUGCGUUCCAUUAGGCAGUUGGCGGGGUAACGGCCCACCAAACCUUCGAUGGAUAGGGGUUCUGAGAGGAAGGUCCCCCACAUUGGAACUGAGACACGGUCCAAACUCCUACGGGAGGCAGCAGUGAGGAAUAUUGGUCAAUGGACGGAAGUCUGAACCAGCCAAGUAGCGUGAAGGAUGACUGCCCUCUGGGUUGUAAACUUCUUUUAUACGGGAAUAACAUGAGGUACGCGUACCUUAUUGCAUGUACCGUUAUGAAUAAGCAUCGGCUAACUCCGUGCCAGCAGCCGCGGUAAUACGGAGGAUGCGAGCGUUAUCCGGAUUUAUUGGGUUUAAAGGGAGCGUAGGUGGGAUAUUAAGUCAGCUGUGAAAGUUUGGGGCUCAACCUUAAAAUUGCAGUUGAUACUGGUUUCCUUGAGUACGGUACAGGUGGGCGGAAUUCGUGGUGUAGCGGUGAAAUGCUUAGAUAUCACGAAGAACUCCGAUCGCGAAGGCAGCUCACCGGGCCGGAACUGACACUGAUGCUCGAAAGUGCGGGUAUCAAACAGGAUUAGAUACCCUGGUAGUCCGCACAGUAAACGAUGAAUACUCGCUGUUUGCGAUACACAGUAAGCGGCCAAGCGAAAGCGUUAAGUAUUCCACCUGGGGAGUACGCCGGCAACGGUGAAACUCAAAGGAAUUGACGGGGGCCCGCACAAGCGGAGGAACAUGUGGUUUAAUUCGAUGAUACGCGAGGAACCUUACCCGGGCUUAAAUUGCGCUGGCUUUUACCGGAAACGGUAUUUUCUUCGGACCAGCGUGAAGGUGCUGCAUGGUUGUCGUCAGCUCGUGCCGUGAGGUGUCGGCUUAAGUGCCAUAACGAGCGCAACCCUUAUCUUUAGUUACUAACAGUUUUGCUGAGGACUCUAAAGAGACUGCCGUCGUAAGAUGCGAGGAAGGUGGGGAUGACGUCAAAUCAGCACGGCCCUUACGUCCGGGGCUACACACGUGUUACAAUGGGGAGCACAGCAGGUUGCUACACGGCGACGUGAUGCCAAUCCGUAAAACUCCUCUCAGUUCGGAUCGAAGUCUGCAACCCGACUUCGUGAAGCUGGAUUCGCUAGUAAUCGCGCAUCAGCCACGGCGCGGUGAAUACGUUCCCGGGCCUUGUACACACCGCCCGUCAAGCCAUGAAAGCCGGGGGUACCUGAAGUACGUAACCGCGAGGAUCGUCCUAGGGUAAACCUGGUGAUUGGGGCUAAGUCGUAACAAGGUAGCCGUACCGGAAGGUGCGGCUGGAACACCUCCUUUCU
rnacentral:rRNA from 1 species